UGAAGGAGCGACGCCGCGUGGGGAUGAAUGGCUUCGGCCGUAAACCCCUGUCAUUUGCGAUCAAACCUUACGACCUAACACGUCGUAAGCUGAUAGUAGCGGAAGAGGAAGGGACGGCUAACUCUGUGCCAGCAGCCGCGGUAAUACAGAGGUCCCAAGCGUUGUUCGGAUUCACUGGGCGUAAAGGGUGCGUAGGCGGUCGGGUAAGUCUGACGUGAAAUCUUCAAGCUCAACUUGGAAACUGCGUCGGAUACUAUUCGGCUAGAGGAAUGGAGGGGAGACUGGAAUACUUGGUGUAGCAGUGAAAUGCGUAGAUAUCAAGUGGAACACCAGUGGCGAAGGCGAGUCUCUGGACAUUUCCUGACGCUGAGGCACGAAAGCCAGGGGAGCAAACGGGAUUAGAUACCCCGGUAGUCCUGGCCCUAAACGGUGCACGUUUGCUGUAAGAGGAAUCGACCCCUUUUGUGGCGAAGCUAACGCGUUAAACGUGCCGCCUGGGAAGUACGGCCGCAAGGUUAAAACUCAAAGAAAUUGACGGGG
rnacentral:rRNA from 1 species